rnacentral:misc_RNA from 1 species
GAUGAAGAACGUAGUGAAAUGCGAUAAGUAAUGUGAAUUGCAGAAUUCAGUGAAUCAUCGAAUCUUUGAACGCACAUUGCGCCCGCCGGUAUUCCGGCGGGCAUGCCUGUCCGAGCGUCAUUUCACCACUCAAGCCCAGCUUGGUGUUGGGGCACCCGGCCGCCUGGCGGUCGGGGCCCCCAAGUACAUCGGCGGUCCCGCUGGGGGCUCCGAGCGCAGUAGCUCGCGGUAAAACGCGCCCCUCGCUCGGCGGCUCCUUCGGGCUUCCAGCGGCUAAACCCGUCCACCGACGCCCUUCGAGUUGACCUCGGAUCAGGUAGGAAUGCCCGCUGAACUUAAGCAUAUCAAUAAGCGGAGGA